rnacentral:rRNA from 1 species
GCGGCGUGCCUAAUACAUGCAAGUAGAACGUUUAAGAGAGGAGCUUGCUCUUCUUGGAUGAGUUGCGAACGGGUGAGUAACGCGUAGGUAACCUGCCUUGUAGCGGGGGAUAACUAUUGGAAACGAUAGCUAAUACCGCAUAACAAUGGAUGACACAUGUCAUUUAUUUGAAAGGGGCAAUUGCUCCACUACAAGAUGGACCUGCGUUGUAUUAGCUAGUAGGUGAGGUAACGGCUCACCUAGGCGACGAUACAUAGCCGACCUGAGAGGGUGAUCGGCCACACUGGGACUGAGACACGGCCCAGACUCCUACGGGAGGCAGCAGUAGGGAAUCUUCGGCAAUGGGGGCAACCCUGACCGAGCAACGCCGCGUGAGUGAAGAAGGUUUUCGGAUCGUAAAGCUCUGUUGUAAGUCAAGAACGAGUGUGAGAGUGGAAAGUUCACACUGUGACGGUAGCUUACCAGAAAGGGACGGCUAACUACGUGCCAGCAGCCGCGGUAAUACGUAGGUCCCGAGCGUUGUCCGGAUUUAUUGGGCGUAAAGCGAGCGCAGGCGGUUUGAUAAGUCUGAAGUUAAAGGCUGUGGCUCAACCAUAGUUCGCUUUGGAAACUGUCAAACUUGAGUGCAGAAGGGGAGAGUGGAAUUCCAUGUGUAGCGGUGAAAUGCGUAGAUAUAUGGAGGAACACCGGUGGCGAAAGCGGCUCUCUGGUCUGUAACUGACGCUGAGGCUCGAAAGCGUGGGGAGCGAACAGGAUUAGAUACCCUGGUAGUCCACGCCGUAAACGAUGAGUGCUAGGUGUUGGACCCUUU